rnacentral:rRNA from 1 species
AGAGUUUGAUCCUGGCUCAGGACGAACGCUGGCGGCGUGCCUAAUACAUGCAAGUCGAGCGAAUUCGAUGAGGUGCUUGCACCUCUGAGGGUUAGCGGCGGACGGGUGAGUAACACGUAGGUAACCUGCCUGUAAGACUGGGAUAACUACCGGAAACGGUAGCUAAUACCGGAUAGGCGAGACUCCCGCAUGGGAGAUUC